rnacentral:rRNA from 1 species
UGGGGAAUUUUGGACAAUGGGGGAAACCCUGAUCCAGCCAUCCCGCGUGUGCGAUGAAGGCCUUCGGGUUGUAAAGCACUUUUGGCAGGAAAGAAACGUCAUGGGUUAAUACCUCGUGAAACUGACGGUACCUGCAGAAUAAGCACCGGCUAACUACGUGCCAGCAGCCGCGGUAAUACGUUGGGUGCAAGCGUUAAUCGGAAUUACUGGGCGUAAAGCGUGCGCAGGCGGUUCGGAAAGAAAGAUGUGAAAUCCCAGAGCUCAACUUUGGAACUUCAUUAUUAACUACCGGGCUAGAGUGUGGUAGAGGGAGGUGGAAUUCCGCGUGUAGCAGUGAAAUGCGUAGAUAUGAGGAGGAACACCGAUGGCGAAGGCAGCCUCCUGGGAUAACACUGACGCUUAUGCACGAAAGCGUGGGGAGCAAACAGG